AUCAAUAUUCAUUAUAAAAUUAAACUAAAUAAAUUAAAAUUAUUUAUUAUUUAAUAUGGAAACCAUGAAUUUGUCAAAAUUUUCAUCAAAAUCAAUGGAUGUUAUCGUUGAUAUUCAUCAAGAAUAUGAAGAAGACAAAUUUUCUAAUGAUAACGAUGAACAAAAUAAAACGGUAGAUAAAAAUAUUUCAAAUUUAUUUCUACAGGAAUACAAAAAUAUUAAUACAUCUUCGAAUAUAAAUACUAUUCGUGAUAAAAAAGUUAAAAGAUCUAAAAUCAAUUUAACUGCACAUCAAAAUCUUUUACAAUACGACAAUGAUAUAAAAAUUAUAGAAUCGGUAGAUCUGAUUGAAGAGUUCGAAAAAUCACAGAUUAAGAAAAAAAAUGAAAAAAAAAUUCGUGAAAAAAAUACAAUGAGAGAUAAUAAAUCGAAUAAGAAGAAUAGGAAUCGAUCGUUUAUCGAGGAAAAGUUGCAUGAUAGAAAACAAUGGGAUAUAUCAAAAAAUGAAAUAAUAGAAAUGAAGAAACCAACGAGAAAACGAUGGUUAAAAGAUACCAUUAUGAUUCAAUUACCGGAACCGAGGAGUAUUUCUUGGACAAAUAUAUCUCCAGAUAAUGUAUCUUCGUCUGUUCAACAUUCAAAACAAUCAUUGUCAACGGCAUGUUUUUCAAACCAGCCAUUGCCAGCGAUAUAUUCUUCAAAACAAGCAUUGACAACGAGAAAUUCAUUUUUAAAACAAAAAUUAUUAUUUGGUUUUGAUAAUGCAGCUUUUGAUUCGGAAAAUGAAGAAAUUCUUAAAAUUGAAACCGAUCACAAUCACGAUAAUACGAAAAUCGAAAUGAAAUUUGAUGGCCGAAGUUCUCAAGAUUUGAGCAAAGAAAACAAAAGUUUGAGAGAAACGACAAUCAUGAUCGAAAAUUUAAACGAGACUGAAAAUUUAGAUGAAAAUUAUGAAAAUCAAAGAAAAAAAACAAUAUUAGAUAUUGAACAUACUGAAAAAUCUAAUUAUAAUUAUGAUAUAUCUUUGAAAGAUAGAAUGAAUCAUAAAUCAAAAUAUAAAAAAAAUUUGUCUACAAAUAAGAAUGGGAAAAAUAUUUCUGAUAAUUCUAAUACAUCGCAAAGCUUGGAAGAUAUCACUGUACAAUCAGAUUCCUCCGAAAAAAUAUUAAUAAAGAAUAAUCAAAAAUGUAAUCGAAAACAUUCGAUUAAAAAUGAUCAAAAGAAUUCUAAAGAAAAUUUAAUAUCUGUUGAUGAACAUGACUAUCUAAAUAGAAAUUAUUUAAAACAUUCUAGUCAACAAUCGUUCACUUCUGAGAAUGAUGAUUUGAAUGAGAAUCGUUCGAAAAAAAUUUACAAUGAAACUAAAUUAAAAAGAUCAAAUAUGAAGAAAAAAAAAACAAAUUAUACAGAACAAUGUCAAAUGCAACAAAAACGAAAAAUACAUCGAAAAAAUAUUUCCACUUCAUCUAUCCAUACACCAACUGUUAAUGUCAAAGAAAAUUUAAAAAAAAAAGAAAAAAAAGGAGACAAAAAUAUAAAAUAUAUUUCUGUAACAAUUCAUAGAACGGAUAUGUUAGAGAUUGAUUACGUGACAAAACAUCCUAUGGUAAAGGUUCAUAUAAUAAAAGGUGAGAGCGGGAAAUAUUUAAAAAAUAAAUAUGGUACAAGUACAUAUUUGCAACCUAUAAUAACGGGAAAAUUCGAUUUCAAAGAAAAUAAAUCCAUAAUACCAAUAUGGGAGGAAGAACUUAUUUUCGAACAUAAUUUCGAAGAGCUUCUGAAAACUGAUAAUGAAUAUAUUGUAAUUCUUUUCGAAAUUGUAGAUCUUUUAAGUUUUGCCGAAGCCAGUUUCAAUUAUGAUAAAUUUGGUCAUGAAAGUUGUUGGUAUAAAAUAGCAUGGGCUUUUCUAAAACCUAUAGGAUACAACAAUAUAUUACAUAUUGAUAAAAAGAUCAGAUUACAACUAUAUAAGCCUCAAAAGAAUUUGCAAAAAUUUGAAAGAUUUCAUACAUGUGAAGUAUACACAUGGUGGAAAUCAAACAUUCGAGAAAAAUAUCCUAGUAGCUUAUUUGUUACUAUAAAAUCCAUCGAUCCACCUAAAUUAGAACCUGUUUUAUAUCAACAAUUAUCAUUGCAUUAUUUAUCCAAUGCAUGUAAUGAAUCACAAAAAAUUCAUACUUCGGACAAUAUAAAUUUACCAAAAUGGACUAGAUUAACUGCACAAUCUUGUAAAGUGCCAAAUGAUAUUUUCUUUGAAACAGACAUCAGCGAAAACGGAUGUUUUUAUGUUGCUUUUAGUAACAAUGGAAAAUAUUUGGCUUGUAGCUUUGUUGAGGACCAAGAUUAUCCUAUUGUCAUUUAUAAGGUUGAAGCAAAGAAAAUACACAUACGCUUUUUAGGACACAAAAUUUUUAUUUACUCUCUCCAUUGGUCUAACAAUGAUAAUUAUUUACUUUCUGUUUCGUCAGAUCAAACUGCUCGCAUUUGGGAUGUGCAGAAUCAAAUUACACAACACGUAGAAAUGAUGCCUCAUCCUUCGUAUGUAUAUUGUGGUAAAUUCGAAUCUGAAAAUACCUCGAUUGUAGCAACUGGAUGUUAUGAUCGAAUAGUGCGCAUUUGGAUACAAGAUAAGAAAUUGAAAAAUCAUAAUCUUAAUCAGGAAUUAGAAGGUCACGAGGGUUUUGUAAAUUCAAUGUAUUUUCAGAAAAAUAGUAAUUUAUUAACAGCAGACAGUGUUGGAAUAAUAAUAUUAUGGGCGUUAAAAAAGAAUCGAAAAGUAUCAUUUAAAAAGGAAUGGCAUAUAUCACGAAAAAUAAAAGUCAGAGAAAUCGACGGUAUAAUAAUUAAUACAAUUAUUUUACAUCCUUUGGAAUCUAGACUUCUUGUUCAUUCGAGAAACAAUGGGUUAAAAAUGUUAGAUCUCGCAACUGGUGUAAUAUUGCAAAAAUAUAAAGAAUUGAAUAAUCAAAGAAUACAAUCAACAGCCUGUAUUUCUCCAUGCGGUAGUUUAAUCUUUUGCGGUGAUGAAGAUUCAUCUUUAAAUGUGUGGAACUUAGAAACUGGAAAUCUUAUUGCAAAAUAUACAUUCGAUCAACACUAUCGGGCAGUAACUUGUGUAGAUUAUCAUCCAUACGAUCAUAUGUUAGCUUUUUCAAUUUUUGGCAGUUCUGCUCCAGUGAAAAUUUUAAAAUUUAAUAAAGAUGCCACAGGUGAAAAUAUAGGAUUAAAAAUGAGAGAAAUUGAAAAUAUAAUAAACAAUAGGAAUGUUUCUCUUGAAUUUUUAAAUACAUCUGUAAUAUCCAAAGAAGAUUUACAAUCAAAUAAUAAAGAAAUAAUUGAAGAUAAAGAUACUGUAAAAGAAAAGAAUUUGUUAUCUAAUCAGAGUUAUGAUUCUAAUUCUUUUAAAUUUCCUGAUAGUAUUCCUUUAGAAAAAAAUAAAUAUAAUAAUACAAAAAUAAAACUUCAACAAUUAAAUGAAACUGGACAAACAAUAAAAAAUCGUAGUGCGAAUCGUUUGUAUAAUAUUAUUAAAAAAAUUGAUAGCAUUUUAUCAAAUACAUCAAAAUCAUCGGGCGAUAUUGAAUCUGGAAAAAACUUUGUCCAAGAAUUAAAUAAGACCAAAGUUUUAACAAGUUUAGAUGAAAAUAUAGAAAAACAGAAAAAAAAAUUGGAAAAAAAUAUAUCUAUAAGUAGUGAGGAUCAAUCGAGUUAUUUUGAGUCAAGUACAACAAAUAGUGACAAACAGAAAGUUAUUGAGAGUUACGUCUUACAAAGUAACAAAAUAAAUGAUUGGCAUAUAGAAAAAAGAUUGAAAAAUAUAAAGGAAAUGAGAAAUAAUGACAUAUUAAAAAAUUAUAUAUCAGAAAGUUUUUCUGAUAGUACUACUGAUUAUUAUAAGAUGAAAGUAUAUCAUGAAAGUACAAAAAAUUUAUCGCAAGAAGAUAUUGAAUCAGAGCAUAUUACUGAAAUAGAAAAAAAUGAUGAAAAAUUAGUUAUUUGUGAUAACCAUUUUAAAAAUAAUGAUUCAAAUUCUACUGAUAGCAAAAUACAUAUUGUAGAAAAAAAUGAUGUAAAAAAUUGUGAUGAAAUUUCAUUAAAAAUGUUUGAGAACAAAAAUUUAGUUUUAGACGUUACAAAUAUUGAAUCAAAUGUAGAUAAUUAUGGAAGUGAUUGUUCGAUACGUAGCAAUGCGACUUUUAUUAUUGAACGUGAAGUUUCUACAUCAAAAUAAAAAAAAAAUCUAAUCUAAAAUAUCUUUUUAAGAAUUUAAGAAUAAAAAUAUAUUUAAAAUCAUUAUUUAAUGUAUUUAAUAUAAAAUGCCUUUAUAUAUUAUAGAUUAUUGUACUUAAAACAAAUUUGUAGUUUAAAAAUAUUUUAUUUUAUUUCUAAAGCAUGUAAUUUAAAAAAUAAUUAAAAAAAUAUUAUUUAUCAUAUAACGCGAAGUUGUUUCGAUGAUAAAUCGUACAUCGACAAAAGAUGUCUACAUAUUAUCUAAGAGCAAUUAAUUAUUAUAUUAUUUUACAUUAUAACAGUUAAGAAAUAAACGUGCAAGUUAUUUUAACUUAAAUAAAAUUAUUAAUUAUUUUUAUUUUAAAUAUGGGUUCUUUUUUCGGAAAUAUAGCUAGAAUUUCUGUGAAAAUAAUUAUUCUUCCUUUUUUGUAUUUGACAUAUUUAUAUGGCGUAUAUUUAGCGAAUUUAAUUAAUAUAGCAUUUAUAAUUUACAUAUUAUUCAUAUUUAAAUUAGUUGGUAUAAGUAUUGAAAAUGAAGAGUCAGGUGAUGAAGAGGUACGAAAUUUUUCGUAAUUAUUAAUUAAUAUUAUUUAUAAUAUAUUAUUUAUAAUAUUUUUUUAACAAUAUUUAUAGUAACAAAAUAUAAAUAUAUAUUAAAUACUUUGUUAAUUUCAUAAAAACAUGAGAAGUUGAUAAAAUGUAUGAUUUUUCUGGAUGCAUUACAUAUAUAUGUACAUAUAUGUAAUUAAAAAAUGAAUCUCGCAAAAAAAGCGAGAAAUGGGCAGUAUAUUGACAAGUUUAGCUACGAUUGGCAUUAGUCUCAUUUUUUAUCCUUUCCUAUUUCUUUGCUAUAUAUACAUUCUUUUUAUUAUGAUCAUCUUUAAUAUUGUACAUUCAUUCUAUAUUUUUCUUUUAAUGUUACUUAACGGUUUUCCGGAUAGCACAAUUAUUGAUUAAGAUUAUGACUUUGAAGAUGCUGAAUCUAAUAUCAAUUCUGAAGAUACAAAUCAAUCUCAAAAUCUAUAAA